CGUUAUGCUUUGCCAUAUCCAUGAUGCAUUUUGGUGGACCUUGCAGUUGAAGAUUGUCUCUUUUAGGAAGUACUUUGUUUUCAAAACUUUCUUUACUAGGGAGUUGGGCCUUGUUAUCAGCCUCCAGACUUGUUUCCCUAAUAAUGCUUUGUUAAAAUUCAGCAAAUCCUUGAAUCCUAAGAUGGGGCACCACAAUUACAAAUAGUUUCUUUACUUGCUUAGCAUUUGAUAAGGUCUGGACCAAGCACACCAGAUGUUUCCUGUUUUAAUUCCAUUUUUUGGGUUUUUGUACAGCAAUAAUAUAAAACUCUAAUAUUUUUAAGAUGUGACAUAUGUAAAGUAAAAAAUAAUAAUAAUUAAACAUGCAUAAAAUUUCUAGGAAUAAAUAAUUAGAUAUUUAGAAAAAAUUGACCUAUAAAGUGCUACAUUGUUGACAAAAAAUUUACUACUUAUUAACUGCAUUCAAUUGAGUCGUUCAACAUAUGCUUUGCUUUGCAUGUCUGUUUCAUCGAUAGUAGAAACACUAAUGUGUCAAUCAAUCAUCCUUAAUCUCAUCGCCUGCUCAAUUAAUCACCGGAUACUAUUCUAGUCAAACCAACAUGCCAUGAUUUUUUCUAAUCGAUCGUGCUAUUAGCGUCAGGCUCUUCUUAUUAUGUGCAAUUAGAGCCCAAACAUUUACAUGCAAAACAUUGGGGACCUUACUUUUAUUGCAUGCCCGUAAUAGAAGAAGCCUUAUUAUCAUCAUCAUGACCCAAGGGCUAAUAUGCACUUACCUCCACCGGACAUUGGCUUCGAAGGUUCGGGUCGCCGGGCGGACGACUUUGCAGUUUGCACAGACCGUUGCUUCUUGUAUUUGACUUGCAUGUCCCCGGUACCCCACAUUUACUAUACACCGGCGUCCUGUCCCGAAAUCUGCACAUCUUGGAUUGAAUUUGACGAGGACCCGCUAAUCCAUUAAUAUCAUAAGGACCAGUCUUUUUUUUUCCUUUUCAAUUGUAGUUUUGAGAAUGUGACCUUUAGACGUAUACUUACCUACAUAGUUACAGCUACACUAAAUGCGAUAAUGCUAAACGGAGAAAUUUUCCUCAUUUGAGCAAGCUAUGGAGACAGAUUAAGGGACUUGGUCUUUUCUAUACAAAGGUCUACCCGCACGGCAUCCUUCCUACAUUCAUGACUGUUUCGCGUGUGUGGACUAAAUGAGAGUUCAUAGCAUAACAGUAAUAUCAUUUCAAAAUCGACUCAUUUGCUGUGCCCCAAAAUUUGAAGUUCAAAGAAGAAUGAAGUCUAACAAUAAGUCUCCUCAUCAUUCUCACCCUUUAUCUACUGCAGUUACAGAAAAAAAAAAUAGAUAUGUUAAGCAAGAAUUCAUUGGAUUCUCGAAAUUCAUCAAGAAUUAAAGCAGCUCGCCAACGAAGUAACUAGUGCUCCUAGGCUUGGCUUUGGCACGAAGUAGUUAGUAAUGCACCCUCUGAAAAUGGCAAAAUGCAUGCAUAUCAGCAGCUCCUCCUAUCAUUCAUUAUUCCACAGUCCAGCAUCAAUAUUACGGCAUUGAUAUAUGCCAUACACAGACUUCUACGCCAGUUAGAAACGAAAUUAGUGUAGUAGGGCUAAUUCUUUGGGUGAAUUUUUACUAGUCAACAAUCGAGCAUUCCUUAGCGUUUUGGAAGUGCAUUUCAGCUAUUAUUAAACUGUAUUCAUGGUUUGGGGAACAGCGAGACCUGACGUUCCAGAAGCAGUUUAGAUAGUCGACUUGAAAAGUCUAAGAAGCCAAACAUGACUGGGAAGUUUUAGGAGAAAAACGUGUUGAUAGGCUUAGAAGAAAAACAGGGUUUAGUCCGCUGAUUUUGCAUGAGGACCAUCGUGUUGGUCAACUUAUUCACUUGGUUCUGUGACUUUGGCUGUAGUCAACUAGCAUCAUUUGGAUCUAGUGCAAUGCACUUAAGUGAGGCAGCUGAGAGAAAAUAAGAAUUUGUGCUGUGUAAACUCAACUGUGUCAUUUAGUUUUGAAAGCAUUUUAGUUUCUCUUUUUACAUGUUUCCAUGCAUAUAUGAACUUGUUUCCAUGUAUAUUGGGUUCUUCACUUUCCGUUGUUUCAAGUUCGGUUGCUUCACUUUCACUAGCGUAAGCUACCAUACUCUGCCUCUGCCUUUGGAUAUGAAUACUUAACCCUUUGUGAUCAAGAAGAUUAUGGCUGUUUUUCUUUUUUCCCGGGAAACACAAUAUCCUAACCGAAAUAAAUCAAGAAUAAGAAAGAAAAAGAAAAAGUAGAGGGGGAUGGGGAUGGGGACC
rnacentral:lncRNA from 1 species